UAUGGCCAUAUCACGUUGAAACACCGUUUCCCGUACGAUGACCGAAGUUAAGCGGCGUCAAGCCUGGUCAGUACCUUGAUGCGUGACCGCUGAGGAAUACUAU